rnacentral:piRNA from 3 species
UAAUGGUUAGCACUCUGGACUCUG